AUGCACGCUGGCGGCGUGCCUCAUCCAUGCAAGUCGAGCGAACAGACGAGGAGCUUGCUCCUUUGACGUUAGCGGCGGACGGGUGAGUAACACGUGGAUAACCUACCUAUAAGACUGGGAUAACUUCGGGAAACCGGAGCUAAUACCGGAUAACAUGUUGAACCGCAUGGUUCAACAGUGAAAGACGGUCUUGCUGUCACUUAUAGAUGGAUCCGCGCCGCAUUAGCUAGUUGGUAAGGUAACGGCUUACCAAGGCAACGAUGCGUAGCCGACCUGAGAGGGUGAUCGGCCACACUGGAACUGAGACACGGUCCAGACUCCUACGGGAGGCAGCAGUAGGGAAUCUUCCGCAAUGGGCGAAAGCCUGACGGAGCAACGCCGCGUGAGUGAAGAAGGGCUUCGGAUCGUAAAACUCUGUUAUUAGGGAAGAACAAAUGUGUAAGUAACUAUGCACGUCUUGACGGUACCGAAGCAGAAAGCCACGGCUAACUACGU
rnacentral:rRNA from 1 species